AAACAUUUUCUUUAGAUAUAUUUUAAAGGUAAUACCUGCUCAAUGAGUAUUAAAUUGCCGCAGUAUUAUGACUGUGCUAAGGUAGCAUAAUAAUUUGUCUUUUAAAUGGGGACUGGAAUGAAAGGUUUUAUGGGGGUAUGCUAAUGAUUUAAUAAAUCUUUGAAGUUAAGGUUUAAGUUAAAAUUCUUAAGUUUAUUUGAGGGACGAGAAGACCCUGUGGAUCUUUAUUUUGUUUAUAGUAAAUUAUUAUAAAUGUUUUAUUAUCUUAAAAAUUUGAUUGGGACGAUUAUUAUUUUAACAUAAUUUUAAGAAUUUAUUUUGAUCCUUUUGAAGGAAUUAAGAUUAAGUUACCCCAGGGAUAACAGCGUUAUAUUAUUGGAUAGUUCAUAUUGAUAAUAAUGUUUGCGACCUCGAUGUUGAAUUAAAAUUUCUUUUUAAAGCAGAAGUUAAAUUAGUAAGUCUGUUCGACUUUUAAAAUUUUACAUGAUCUGA
rnacentral:rRNA from 1 species